CUACGUAGGGGGCGAGCGUUGUCCGGAAUGAUUGGGCGUAAAGGGCGCGUAGGCGGCCUGUUAAGUCUGGAGUGAAAGUCCUGUUUUCAAGAUGGGAAUUGCUUUGGAUACUGAUGGGCUUGAGUGCAGGAGAGGUUAUCGGAAUUCCCGGUGUAGCGGUGAAAUGCGUAGAGAUCGGGAGGAACACCAGUGGCGAAGGCGGGUAACUGGACUGCAACUGACGCUGAGGCGCGAAAGUGUGGGGAGCAAACAGGAUUAGAUACCCUGGUAGUCCACACUGUAAACGAUGAAUGCUAGGUGUAAGAGGUAUCGACCCCUUUUGUGCCGGAGUUAACACAAUAAGCAUUCCGCCUGGGGAGUACGGCCGCAAGGUUGAAACUCAAAGGAAUUGACGGGG
rnacentral:rRNA from 1 species